ACACUCCUACGGGAGGCAGCAGUGGGGAAUUUUGGACAAUGGGCGAAAGCCUGAUCCAGCAAUGCCGCGUGAGUGAAGAAGGCCUUCGGGUUGUAAAGCUCUUUUGUCAGGGAAGAAACGGUGAAAGCUAAUAUCUUUUGCUAAUGACGGUACCUGAAGAAUAAGCACCGGCUAACUACGUGCCAGCAGCCGCGGUAAUACGUAGGGUGCAAGCGUUAAUCGGAAUUACUGGGCGUAAAGCGUGCGCAGGCGGUUUUGUAAGUCUGAUGUGAAAUCCCCGGGCUCAACCUGGGAAUUGCAUUGGAGACUGCAAGGCUAGAAUCUGGCAGAGGGGGGUAGAAUUCCACGUGUAGCAGUGAAAUGCGUAGAUAUGUGGAGGAACACCGAUGGCGAAGGCAGCCCCCUGGGUCAAAAUUGACGCUCAUGCACGAAAGCGUGGGGAGCAAACAGGAUUAGAUACCCGGGUAGUCCCAUG
rnacentral:rRNA from 1 species